CUCUCAGUAGCAAGGAAACAGAGGGAAAAUAUGAUGUAUAGAUGAUAAGAGAUGCAAUAAAAAUAUAAAAAAAACCAGAACUAAGAGAUUAAAAAUAAAUAGCAUAUGUUAAUAAAGAGAAUAUCCAAAUAGCCAAUAAAUGAUCUGAAUUUGUCUCACUAAAAAUUUACAUUGAAAUCUUUACUCCCAAAGCAGCAGGAGGUAGAGGGGAGGUGAUCAGAAUAUGGAGGCAGAAUCCCCAUGCCUGGCAUUAGUGCCCUUACAAGGGACUGAGAGAGAACACUCCCUGUUAGGGUCUAGAUGUGACAUGUCCCCCAAAAGCUCAUGUGUGAGACAUUGCAAGAAAGCCUUAACCAAAUCAGUGAAUUAAUCCCAUGAUAGAAUUAAUUGAAUGGCAUCUGAAGACAGGGAGGGUGUGGCUGGAGGUCAGUCAUUGGGGGUGUAGCUUUGGGGUAUAUAUUUUGUAUCUGGUGAGUCUCUCUCUGCUUCCUAAUGUGAGCUGUUUCCCUCCAUCACACUCUUACGCCAUACGUUCCGCCUCAUCCCAAGCCCUGAGGAAGAGAGCCAGAUUUCUAUGGACUGGGACCUCUGAACUGUUAGCCCCCAAAUAAACUUUUCCUGCUCUAUAAUUGUUCUGGUCAGGUCUUUUAGUCACAGCAGUGAAAAAUCCUGACUAAAACAUUUCCUUUCCAUCAUAAGAGGACAUAUCAAGAAGGUUCUAUAAGUAACCAGAGAGCUGGCCUUCCCCAGACACUGAAUCACCUUGAUCCUCGACUCCCGCACUCCAGAACUGUGAUAAACUGUGACUUCCGUUGUUGAUAAACUGCCCAGUUUAUGGCAUUUUGUUAUGGCAGCCUAAAAGGACUAAGGAAGAACUGCAAAUUGAAAAAUCCCAAUGUUACAGCACCACUCACCCAGUUGAGGGUCAAAAAGGAAAAGGACAGAUGAUACUCAGUUUGGGUAAAGAUAUGGAGUAACUCGAACUCUCAUUCACUUUUAAUGGGAAUGUAAAUUAGUAUCAACAACAGAAUUUAUAUAUAUCUCCUAUAUACCAGUGAGAAUAAAUGAAUUCUAACUACAUGAAACACCAUGAGUCUCACGAACAAUGCUUAGUGAAAAAAUAGAAAACCAGGCACAAAAAAAUACAUGCUAUAUAAUUUCAUUUUUAUAAAGUCCCCAAACAGACAAAACUCUGAGUUAAAAGUCAAGAUAGUGGAGUCCCUUGUAGGGGACAGUGGCUGGAAGGGAUCAUGAGUGUCUCUAAGCCUGUUACUGCUUGGUUCCUGAUCCGGGGGCUGGGGACACAAGUGGGCUCUUUGUGAAAAAUCAGCAAGCCAUAUAUCUUGAUUUGUUCAUUUUCUUUGUGUGCAUAUUUCCAAAAAUUUGCAAAACAUAAAGAUCAAAAUAAUACCUACAAGAGUGAAGUUGGUUCUUACUUCACAUUAUAUACAAAAUUAACUCAAAAUGGACCAAAGACCCAUAUAUAAGAGCUAACUCUUAGGAGAAAAUGUAGACAUAAAUUUUCAUUAAUUUUGAAUUGGCAAUGGUUUCUUAGCCAUGCCACCAAAAGCAAAAGUAACCAAAGAGAAAAAAAUAGAUAAAACGGACUUUAUCAAAACUGGAAAGUUCGGUGCUUCACGGGACAAAAUGAAGAAAAUGAAAAGAAUACCCACAGAAUGAGAGAAAAAUAUUUGUAAAUCUGAUAAGGAUUUAAUAUCCACAAUAUAUAAAGAACUCAAACAACUCAGCAAUAGAAAAACUAAUUUAAAAACAGGCAAAAAGAUAAAUAGACAUUUCUCCUAACAAGAUCCACAAAUGGUCAAUAAGCAUAUGAAAUGAUGCUCAACAUCACUAGUUGCUAAGGAAAUGGGAAUAUAUCACAAUAAGACACCACUUCACAAUAACAGGAUGGCUAAGAUAAGAGGCAGAUGAUAGAGACAAUACCAUGAUGGUGAGCAUGUGUAGAAAUUAUAACUCUCAUACAUUGCUGGAAGGAAUAUGAAAAGGUGCAGCUACUUUGGAAAAUGUUUUGGCAAUUCUUCAAAAAUUUGACAUAGAAGUCCCAGAUGCUCCAGAAAUUCUACUCCUAGUCCUCUAAUCAAGAGAAAUUCAACAUAGGUCUACACAAAUAAAUAUACAUGGAUUUCAUUGAAACAUUAUUUAUAAUAGCCCCAAAUUGGAAAAGCCCAAAUGUCUAUCAAUGGAUGAAGACAGAUGAGUGGAUAAAUAAAAUGCAGUGCAUAUAUAAAAGGAAUAUUAUUCAGUUAUAAGAAGAAUAAAACACAACAAGGCUACAAUAUUGAUGAACCUUAAAAACAUGAAGUGAAAGACUCCGGUCACAAGGAUCAUGUGUUUUAAAUGAAAUAUCAGGAUGAGGCAAAUCCAGAGAAAUAGAAAGUAGGUUAGUGGUUCCAGGAGCUGCAACCGUGGAAGGAAUAGGGAGUGAUGAAAAUCUGAAAUUGGAAAGUGGUGAUGAUGUACAACUUUGUGAAUAUUCUAUAUGCUAUUGAAUUGUGUGUUUUCCCAUUGAAUUUUGUGGUAUGUGAAUUUUUUCUCAAUAAAAGAACCUACUAGAGGAG
rnacentral:lncRNA from 1 species